GCACUACUUUAUAAUACAGUCAUGGAGACAAUGAAGAAGAAUAUACUUCUUCUGCUGUUUUACCACUCAGGCCAGGAUGCUGCACAGGCGCUAUGGUAACCUGUGGUAUCCAACUGAGUGUGUCCAUCUGCUAAUGAUCCAUGCAGGCCAUCAUUGUGUGUCAAACAGAGUCAGCAAAACAGACUCGUCUUCCCACCAAACACCACACGGCAAUUAGACCUGACAAUACGCUGACUCCCAGAAUCCCAC